rnacentral:rRNA from 1 species
CAGUAGCCGCGGGAAUACGUAGGUGGCAAGCGUUGUCCGGAAUUAUUGGGCGUAAAGGGCUCGCAGGCGGUUUCUUAAGUCUGAUGUGAAAGCCCCCGGCUCAACCGGGGAGGGUCAUUGGAAACUGGGAAACUUGAGUGCAGAAGAGGAGAGUGGAAUUCCACGUGUAGCGGUGAAAUGCGUAGAGAUGUGGAGGAACACCAGUGGCGAAGGCGACUCUCUGGUCUGUAACUGACGCUGAGGAGCGAAAGCAUGGGGAGCGAACAGGAUUAGAUACCCCAGUAGUCCCUGUCUCUUAUAC